UCGCCUCCCGCUAUUUCCACCAGAAACCCACCACAGCAGGCAGAACAAUUCAACCUCCUCAGGCCCUGUCCCAAACCCAGCCCAUCUUUGCAUAUUCAAGCCCAGGAAGUCUCAGGCACAGGAAGGAGCGUUCUUUGAACCGGAUAGGUCCUCCUCUAGGCAGUCAGCUGAGGUUGUGAAUGGACUCCAUCACAGCCCCAUUAGGCUGAAAGUAAACAGCAGGGACAGCAGUGGCAGAUCCAGGGCCUAAAGGGAAUCUGUCUCCAACCUUGCUGAACUACUAGGAAAGAGCUGCUGUCUUUCAGGGUUCUCUACACAGCCUGGAGUUGCUGGGGCCAUUUUGUCUACC